rnacentral:misc_RNA from 1 species
CUCACCCUCACCCUCACCCCCCCCGCCCCGCACGCCGGGUAGAGAACAGCAUCCCAGUGAAUCUCUGUUUUCUCAACUGUGUCUUUACAUCUAGGAGUCUUCACGACAGCAACGCUACACACCACGCGUACAACUUUCCAAUCGCCGGCACGAGCCCAGCGGCACCCAAACUCUACACUCUCUGCUUCGCAGCCGCGGCGCACACACGCAACGCCUGUCGCUGUUCAGCGUCGGCCGAGGUCAGCGUGCCUCCAAAGAGGAUUCUGAGCUGUGCAACACAAGUGCAGCCUUGUGUGCUCAAAGUAGCGGUCGGUGCAAUUCAUCGCAGUCUGGUGUGCACAGAGGGCUCUUCUUCAUGGAGCAGGCUACAGUUCAAAGAGUCGAUGGUGACCUUAGGAGUGAAAGAGAGGUGCAGCUGGUGCUUGCAACUCCCUAGUCACGCCACCCCUUCAAGCCAAGACGGAGGCAGGCCUCCGCUGGCAUCAUUCAACUCUCACCGAGUAUGCGGGAAGGGCAAGGCCACUGCAGCGCUGCUGGUAAGGCCACGAUGUGGCGAGCAGCACAGGCGUCUCCUUGCAACCUGCUCUGCGGUGGCCGUGGGUAAUCGCCCGGUGGACUACAGGCAGCCAGAAAGACAGAUCACGAGCGGCACGUGAAGUGCAGCGUGUGCGUCUACUUUUGCUGCGAUGGAGUCCAUAAUUGGCUUGUGGUGCACCUGAAAUGGAAACGGCUUCUGCGGUGGCGCCACUCGCUUCUGAAGCACACGAACUGCAGUGGCGGCAUGGCUGGUCGAUGCUUGCAUGAGAAUACGCAACACCGCACUGAGGCGCUCCCCAGUUGCGGCAGUUGCGGCUGUUGUGUAGACGGUGACAGCCCACGUGCCACUCGCCAAAGUCAAAGGAGCAAAAGGCGUGCGAGGGAACAAAGGGAAAGCUGCAAAGGGCGAGCAGAGCAGAGGGGAAGUUGCAGGGCUGCGAUAUGCGUUGAAGAGAUGCGGUCAUGCAGCCUCAUGGCACGUGAAUGCGCAUUCCCCUCAGCUGUUGUCUGGCGUUUGUUCGCAAGACAAAAAAAAAAUGCAUCAGAACACGGUCACGUGCGCCUGUGUGUGUGCGCUCAUAGAAGGCCAAGCUCAGGCAGCACGCAUGCGAUGUAAAGAAAGAGAAGCUGAAGCAACAGAAAGAAUAAAUGCAAGCCAGAGGGCAAGAAAUGAGGAUACAUGAGUGAGGCUGAAAAGGAGAAGAGGCGGUUCGCGUUCACGCAUUACUGUGAGUUCGUGCAGCGAGUUCUGGGACACGGUAAGGAAGGCGUAGUGACCAAAGGAAGGAAAAAAGAAACGGUCUUCAGUGAAAGUUGACUACCGAAGAAAAAAAGUUGAACUCCAAGGCUGCCGGCGCGUUCGGGAGAAUGCAAGCCGCUGCCCAGUUUGCUGUAGUGACAGGUUAGCAAAAGCGUAUCUCCGCCAAGGGGGUGCGCAUUGAGAGGCGGCAAAGACUUAACGGGAAUAGUUUGAGAUGAGGACUGCCUACCCCUUAAAGAGCAUUGAGGGGUGCAAGAAAUGUCCAGCGUUGUAAUCACAAAAUAGUAGCGCAUCUUUCUUGUCGCACCAUCUGCUGAGACGAAGCGCGGCGUGGAAAGGGAGCUAUGGUCAGUAGACUUGGGCCUGACGAGCGGGUUUUUUUACACUCAAGUUGAAGAAAAGGGCGCGUCGUUUUGAAGGUUGCGUCGUACAGAUUUUAGCAGACGAGGUGAAUCUGUGAAUGGAUGGAGGGUCUUCGGUUGCUUGCGGUUACUCCUGUCAACGGAUUGCCUCGCCCGCUAUGAACGAACGUCAUAAGUGCCGCGUAUACAGCCGUUUUCCGUGUUGACCGCUGGGAGUGGUGAUGGCGAGCAGUGGCGUGCGGCUGAAGAGCCGCACGUGUGCGGCAAAGGAACGAUGAGUAUUUUGUAGAGAUCCAACUUGGAAAACAGCUGAAGCGAUUACUUGUCGAGGAACACUGUAUGAGAGAAAUCGCGGUGGCUGCCAAGCGAGAGGAAGCUGUUCGGGGGAGUAGAGAUCCGGAAAGCAAGUGGAAGGCGCAUAGGGAUGAUUCUCCCGCACAGUUCAAGCAACUGGCGUGGUCCCACGAGAGUUGCUACUGUGUAGGGAAACGAACCGUAGUUCCUCAAAGAAGCUUAGGAGCGCCGGUACGGGUACCGAGCGGCUUUUGUGGUUUGCGUAGAUGUAUGCGCCACUGGUCCCACGCGCGCCGGAGGCCAGUAGAGCACCGCGGAGGCUGUGGUGUGUCGCGGGGAACGCACGUAGUCGAUGUCAAAAGGUCCCUUCGCAGCUGUUUCUUUCGGAUCGUCUGUUAGAUGAUUACGCGGAAAAAGUGGAGGUGCGCACGAAUGUUGUCGAACGGCAGCUGUAUUUGCCGGCAGUCUUGCGGCAGCGGAAGGCCAGCAGACAUCCUCUUUCGCAGAACGCUAGCGAGAAAGGUAGCAAAAUAUGAGGACCAUGUUUAGGGAUCUCCUUGCUUUGGGAAAGGUUCAGAGGCUGUGGGCUGAGGAAAUAUGUGCACGUCUUUUUUUUAACUGUCGCCCCCCCCCCCUCCUAGCUGUCCUCUUUUGGCAUGUUUGAAAAUCAACUGAGCCACAAGGACGGAAAGGGAUGGUGCAAUCGGAUCCUCAAUGAAGAACAGAAAGGAGCUCGAGCUUUGUACAAAUGAUUCUGAAUCCUGCGCCUUUAGCAUAAAUGCGUGCACGGCUCAUGUUCCGGUUAUUCGACUUUCUGUCGCUUCUGGCAGCAGCACUUCGUGUCAGAGUUUCUGCAGCAAAUCCCCGUCUGGCGUGAUAAGCGAGGUUCUCCCUUCCCCAUGUCUUCUCCAUGAUGGAUGACCCCUGAGUCUGCGAAAGCAGUUGAUGACGCUGUUUUCUUGUAUCAUGAGUUGUGCUUUUUUGACGUGGCGCCGUUGGCUGUUAAUGCCAUUCUUCGUGCGAUGCAUAGGAGCACACCUCACCUGCGGCGGUUGUGUAAGCGUUUGUCGUCGGCUAUGCAAAGCUAGCUGGUGCUCAGGAAUGAACAGGUAAAGCCAGAGUUGUAGUUGAGCGCCCGUGCCAUCCACUGGUUAAAGGAUGCGGGUAGUAUUUAGUUUAGAGCUGGGGAAAAACGUAGUUAAGAUGCCGCCCCAAGCGGUGGUCGCUGCUUGCACAAUGUUCAUUGCUGGCAGUUUUGCUUUUUUUCAGCGAAGUUUUUGACACUAUGCGAUGCUCUCAUCGAUGAAUUGUAUGCCCACCUUCUCUUUUUUUUUUCAAGUUAAUCGCGCUAUUCUGGCGCUGCGCGAUGAAAAGGCGAAAUGAAAAGGCGUUCUAUUCCUGUGUGCACCCUGAACUUUGAAGAAUGGACAGAAAUAUACACCUGCAAGAUGAAGCGCUCCGUGAGCGAUCAUCGUUGCCCAUGUGGACAUGAAAGCUGAGGCUGGCUUAUGGCUGCUGGAACCUUUUUCCACUCAAUUAGGCGGAACGACAGUGGUGGCAAUAUGAAUUCAUCAGUGUACUGAAAGGAACGUGUAAACCAUUUGACAGAAGGAAAAGCGCUCGUAGCUUUGCGUGAGAAUGUUGACUUGAUGGCUGCUACUUGUCCUCUUUUCUCUGUUUUUCUCCUACCUAUGUGUUAUUGGGCACUGAUUUAAAAACAACAAAAAUCGAAUAUAG